AGGACGAACGCUGGCGGCGUGCUUAACACAUGCAAGUCGAGCGGUAAGGCCCUUUCGGGGGUACACGAGCGGCGAACGGGUGAGUAACACGUGGGCGACCUGCCCUCAGCUCUGGGAUAAGCCUGGGAAACUGGGUCUAAUACCGGAUAUGACCUUCUCUCGCAUGGGGGUUGGUGGAAAGUUUUUCGGCUGGGGAUGGGCCCGCGGCCUAUCAGCUUGUUGGUGGGGUGAUGGCCUACCAAGGCGACGACGGGUAGCCGGCCUGAGAGGGCGACCGGCCACACUGGGACUGAGACACGGCCCAGACUCCUACGGGAGGCAGCAGUGGGGAAUAUUGCGCAAUGGGCGGAAGCCUGACGCAGCGACGCCGCGUGGGGGAUGACGGCCUUCGGGUUGUAAACCUCUUUCGACCUUGACGAAGCGAAGUGACGGUAGGGUAGAAGAAGCACCGGCCAACUACGCGCCAGCAGCCGC
rnacentral:rRNA from 1 species